UACGUAGGGGGCAAGCGUUAUCCGGAUUUACUGGGUGUAAAGGGAGCGUAGACGGAUAAGCAAGUCUGAUGUGAAAAUCCGGGGCUCAACCCCGGAAUUGCAUUGGAAACUGCAUAUCUAGAGUGUCGGAGAGGCAAGUGGAAUUCCUGGUGUAGCGGUGAAAUGCGUAGAUAUCAGGAGGAACACCAGUGGCGAAGGCGGCUUGCUGGACGAUGACUGACGUUGAGGCUCGAAAGCGUGGGGAGCAAACAGG
rnacentral:rRNA from 1 species